UACGUAGGGUGCAAGCGUUAUCCGGAAUUAUUGGGCGUAAAGAGCUCGUAGGCGGUCUGUCGCGUCUGGUGUGAAAUCCCAUGGCUCAACUGUGGGCUUGCAUCGGGUACGGGCAGACUAGAGUGCUGUAGGGGGAGACUGGAAUUCCUGGUGUAGCGGUGGAAUGCGCAGAUAUCAGGAGGAACACCGAUGGCGAAGGCAGGUCUCUGGGCAGUUACUGACGCUGAGGAGCGAAAGCAUGGGGAGCGAACAGG
rnacentral:rRNA from 1 species